GACGAACGCUGGGCGGCGUGGAUUAGGCAUGCAAGUCGAACGGUAUCAUCCUUUCGGGGGUGAGAGAGUGGCGAACUGGUGAGUAACACGUAGGUUAUCUACCCUCAAGACGGGGACAACCCAGGGAAACUUGGGCUAAUACCGGAUGUGAGCAACUUUUAGUUGUUUGAAAGGUGGCGUAAGCUGUCGCUUGGGGAUGAGCCUGCGUCCUAUUAGUUAGUUGGUGAGGUAACGGCUCACCUAGGCAAUGAUAGGUAGGCGGCCUUAACGGGUGGUCGCCCACACUGGGAUUGAGAUACGGCCCAGACUCCUACGGGAGGCAGCAGUCGAGAAUAGUCUACAAUGGUCGGAAGACUGAUAGUACGACGCCGCGUGAACGAUGAAUCCCUUCGGGGUGUAAAGUUCUUUUAUAUGUGAGCAGUGCUUCUUAUAUUAACAGUAUGGGGAGAGAGAUAUUAGCAUAUGAAUAAGCAACGGCUAACUCCGUG
rnacentral:rRNA from 1 species